rnacentral:lncRNA from 1 species
UUUACUUAACUUAAUGAAAGAAAUUUUAAUCUUUCAGUUUCGACCACAUUUGGUCACCGAAAACUCUACCGAACUGUAAUCUCUAGCAGAUAGCAGUCGGAUUUUAUUUUUUCCUUUCGGGUGUCAGAAUGAUAUGAAACUUUAAAUCUAGACUCAUAAAAAUAAUUCUGACAUAUUCUCGAGUUUUCAUAAUUUUCUGACACUGUGCAUUUUCUGCUAAAAUAUCAGUCCCGUUUCGCACAGAAAAUUCUAAAUCUUCUGUUUUCGUUCCGAUUUCAGCACGAGUCAUUCCAGACUUAUAUUUCACUUCUCUAAAUCCAAUAAAAAUAGUAUCUCACACUAUUUUUAUUUUAUUUUAUUUUAUAUUUUACUUUUAUAUUAAAAUCCGGUAUGUUACAUUCUCCACCCCUUAAAAGAAUUUCAUCCGCAAAAAUUCAAACCAUGCCUCAAUUUAGCUCCUCG